rnacentral:rRNA from 1 species
ACAAACCUUUUGCAAUAGCAAUCAGCGUCAGUAACAACGUAAUUAAUUACAACUUUCAACAACGGAUCUCUUGGUUCUGGCAUCGAUGAAGAACGCAGCGAAAUGCGAUACGUAGUGUGAAUUGCAGAAUUCAGUGAAUCAUCGAAUCUUUGAACGCACAUUGCGCCCUUUGGUAUUCCAAAGGGCAUGCCUGUUCGAGCGUCAUUUGUACCCUCAAGCUUUGCUUGGUGUUGGGCGUCUUUUGUCUCCAGUUCGCUGGAGACUCGCCUUAAAGUCAUUGGCAGCCGGCCUACUGGUUUCGGAGCGCAGCACAAGUCUUGCCAGCCAAGGUCAGCGUCCACAAGCCUUUUUUCAACCUUGACCUCGAUCAGAGAUCCCGCUGAACUUAAGCAUAUCAAUAAGCGGAGGACAGAACACCGGGAUGCCCUAGUAACGGCGAGUGAAGCGGCAACAGCUCAAAUUUGAAAUCUGGUCUUUUGAGUCCGAGUUGUAAUUUGCAGAGGGCGCUUUGCCUUUGGCAGCGGUCCAAGUUCCUUGGAACAGGACGUCACAGAGGGUGAGAAUCCCGUACGUGGUCGCUGGCUAUUGCCGUGUAAAGCCCCUUCGACGAGUCGAGUUGUUUGGGAAUGCAGCUCUAAAUGGGAGGUACAUUUCUUCUAAAGCUAAAUAUUGGCCAGAGACCGAUAGCGCACAAGUAGAGUGAUCGAAAGAUGAAAAGCACUUUGGAAAGAGAGUCAAACAGCACGUGAAAUUGUUGAAAGGGAAGCGCUUGCAGCCAGACUUGCUUGCAGUUGCUCAUCCGGGCUUUUGCCCGGUGCACUCUUCUGCAGGCAGGCCAGCAUCAGUUUGGGCGGUAGGAUAAAGGUCUCUGUCACGUACCUCUCUUCGGGGAGGCCUUAUAGGGGAGGCGACAUACUACCAGCCUGGACUGAGGUCCGCGCAUCUGCUAGAUGCUGGCGUAAUG